rnacentral:rRNA from 1 species
ACGAACGCUGGCGGCGUGGAUAAGACAUGCAAGUCGAACGAGAGAAUUGCUAGCUUGCUAAUAAUUCUCUAGUGGCGCACGGGUGAGUAACACGUGAGUAACCUGCCCCCGAGAGCGGGAUAGCCCUGGGAAACUGGGAUUAAUACCGCAUAGUAUCGAAAGAUUAAAGCAGCAAUGCGCUUGGGGAUGGGCUCGCGGCCUAUUAGUUAGUUGGUGAGGUAACGGCUCACCAAGGCGAUGACGGGUAGCCGGUCUGAGAGGAUGUCCGGCCACACUGGAACUGAGACACGGUCCAGACACCUACGGGUGGCAGCAGUCGAGAAUCAUUCACAAUGGGGGAAACCCUGAUGGUGCGACGCCGCGUGGGGGAAUGAAGGUCUUCGGAUUGUAAACCCCUGUCAUGUGGGAGCAAAUUAAAAAGAUAGUACCACAAGAGGAAGAGACGGCUAACUCUGUGCCAGCAGCCGCGGUAAUACAGAGGUCUCAAGCGUUGUUCGGAAUCACUGGGCGUAAAGCGUGCGUAGGCUGUUUCGUAAGUCGUGUGUGAAAGGCGCGGGCUCAACCCGCGGACGGCACAUGAUACUGCGAGACUAGAGUAAUGGAGGGGGAACCGGAAUUCUCGGUGUAGCAGUGAAAUGCGUAGAUAUCGAGAGGAACACUCGUGGCGAAGGCGGGUUCCUGGACAUUAACUGACGCUGAGGCACGAAGGCCAGGGGAGCGAAAGGGAUUAGAUACCCCUGUAGUCCUGGCAGUAAACGGUGCACGCUUGGUGUGCGGGGAAUCGACCCCCUGCGUGCCGGAGCUAACGCGUUAAGCGUGCCGCCUGGGGAGUACGGUCGCAAGAUUAAAACUCAAAGAAAUUGACGGGGGCCCGCACAAGCGGUGGAGUAUGUGGCUUAAUUCGAUGCAACGCGAAGAACCUUACCUGGGCUUGACAUGUAAUGAACAACAUGUGAAAGCAUGCGACUCUUCGGAGGCGUUACACAGGUGCUGCAUGGCCGUCGUCAGCUCGUGUCGUGAGAUGUUUGGUUAAGUCCAGCAACGAGCGCAACCCCUGUUGCCAGUUACCAGCACGUGAAGGUGGGGACUCUGGCGAGACUGCCCAGAUCAACUGGGAGGAAGGUGGGGACGACGUCAGGUCAGUAUGGCCCUUAUGCCCAGGGCUGCACACGUACUACAAUGCCCAGUACAGAGGGGGCCGAAGCCGCGAGGCGGAGGAAAUCCUAAAAACUGGGCCCAGUUCGGACUGUAGGCUGCAACCCGCCUACACGAAGCCGGAAUCGCUAGUAAUGGCGCAUCAGCUACGGCGCCGUGAAUACGUUCCCGGGUCUUGUACACACCGCCCGUCACAUCAUGGAAGCCGGUCGCACCCGAAGUAUCUGAAGCCAACCGCAAGGAGGCAGGGUCCUAAGGUGAGACUGGUAACUGGGAUG